rnacentral:lncRNA from 1 species
AUUCUUAGCAGGAGGAAAGAGUGUGUCAUUUGGAUUCUAUAGAACCCAUUUCACUCUCCAUUUGUACUUGCAGAUCCAGCUUCAACACAAUUUUCUUAUGUUCUGAAAGUUCAAGCACAAGCACUUGGGGGUAGUUGGCUGUGUGUUUGUGCCUUGGGUUUUCUAAGACUAACCACCCAGUGAAUUCUGUAAAACCCUGUUAAAUGAUGUUCC